UCUGAGGAGUGAAGUAGUUGAUACUGAAGACCCAUUUUUGUCUGUAGUCACCAGAAAGUUAAUUCUCUAGGAUGUCAGUUUUAUAAUCUUCAACAAACCCUUCAGGUAUCUAAUUCUGUAACUGAAACACAACUGGAAUUUGAACAUACCAAGAAGGUGUAUUACCCAAAUUUGGGAUGGAUGUGCAUUGAUGCCACUGAUCCAGAGAAGGGAAACUGGCUGCGAUAUGUGAAUUGGGCUUGCUCAGGAGAAGAGCAAAAUUUAUUCCCACUGGAAAUCAACAGAGCCAUUUACUAUAAAACUUUAAAGCCAAUCGCGCCGGGCGAGGAGCUUCUGGUCUGGUACAAUGGGGAAGACAACCCUGAGAUAGCAGCUGCGAUUGAGGAAGAGCGAGCCAGCGCCCGGAGCAAGCGGAGCUCCCCCAAGAGCCGGAAAGACCAAGCGGAGCAGCCAGCUGGCAGUAGCGCCCUGUAGGACCCCCAGGACCCGAUGGGAAGAAAAAAUCCCAGGAAAAUAAAAACAAAGGAAACAAAAUCCAAGA
rnacentral:sRNA from 1 species